AUAUUUGAUGUAAUCUCAACUUGAAUAAUGUAGCCCCCAAGUGCCGGGUCGUAAGCCCGCAGCAACUCGGGACUAUUCCUUCAAUUGUAGAAUAAAUCAUAUCCAUCGAUAAAAUAAUUUCCAUUGCGCUAAAGCGACUUUGAAAACCUUAAUCAUAAUAUUGGUUAUUGAUAACCAUGAUAAAAAUCCAGCCAUGUUGGCUAUUCAAGAUUUGAAGAAUAUAAUCCGGUAUGAAAACCUCAAUCAUCCAAUAUCAUCAUGACAAUCUAGCCAAGUUUGGCUAUUAAAGAUUACCUUAUCGGUUGACAAGUAAAACCGGAGUUUAAAUACUCAGUGGCUCUUAGCCAAUGGCAACUUAAUGCGCAUUCGUUGUAAUCCGGGAUUUUAUAACCCUGCGGCUUAUAGCCUUUGAGAAAAUCCAAAAACGAAUAAUCAUUUUGAAGCAUCAAUGAGCUUGGACUUAAGCAUUGAUAUAAGUCAUAGUUCUGCAAAUCUUGCACAUUGUUUAAACAACAUAUGGCUUGUCAACUUAACGUCAAAAGCCAGGGCCGGUUUAAACAUAAUCCGUAGCGGUUUAUUCAAGCUAUUCCUGCAUACAAGAAGCUGAGAGUGUCCUGGCGAUUUACCGUCGGACGGAUCAUGAUGCCCAGAUAGAUAGCCAGGGUUUAUAACCAAAGCUGUAAUUGAAGAUAAUCAAAUAUGACAUAGAUGAUACCUGUGACAUUGAAUUACCUUGUUGGCUUAACCAACUCUUGUAGUGAGGGUGGUAACCCCAAUCUUGAGUAUUGAGAACUCCUCCUUUGAUUUGUCAGUUCAUGAUAAAACCAUACCGGGUUGUAAUAAACACCGGAUUAUCCUUGUAAUGUUAGUGACUUGUUAGUCAAAACCAGACCGUGUUAAUGAGCACGGAAUUAUAACUGAUCAUGUGCUAACAACUUGUUAGUUGAAAGCAAAGCCGGGUCAAGGACGCCGGUUUAUCAGAAGAUAUUAUGAACCUCAACAAAGGCAAAAAAACUCGGCAAAUAGAACUCAAAAAAGAACAUGCGAGGCUUUUUAUGAGCUGCCAGGCUCCAAAUCGAGGCUUUUCAUGGGCUGCCAGGCCACUGAAUUAACCAUUUCACAAAGCCUCUUAAGAUGGACCUCAAUCUUUAACCAAUCACGUUUUAACUUUGACAAGUUCAGGGUCUAUGAGAUUGACUGUCAAACGUUCGCGGGUCGUACCAGGUUUACCUGGACGGAGUGACUUACUUAAAGAAGGCAGGUUAAUCCGGGGUUUUAGGUGCGAACACCAGGCUUGAUAGCCUAUUACAAGGGUGCAGACUCUUACUCCGUUGAAGCAAAGAGCCCCCAAGUAACUUCCCUGGUGGCCUUACACCGAUCAAGAGGUGUAGCUAUGGUUCAAAGUCAACCAAGCCCCCAAGUAAUUUCCCUGGUGGCCUUACGUCGAUCAAGAGGUGUAGCUAUGGUUCAAAUACAACCAAGCCCCCAAGUGAUCUACUUCUGAGUUGUGCUCGCCGGGUGCCUAUGUUUGAGUUGUGAUGUGCAACAAACUCUCUUUGGCCCCUUAUGAUAAUAUUGGCUUGAUAGUCAUAUCAAUAUGUAAUCAGAACUCCGCUUUAUAAACAGAAGCCUCCAUGUGAUCAAUAAUAUGAUAAGCCAAUAAGGCAGGAUACCCAUGUUUGAACCACGCAUCAUAGCAACAGGUCCUCUUCAGCAACCUUUAACUUUGUGCAAGAGAUAAAUUCUUCUUGAACCGGGAUUUUGAACCGGAUAUUGAGAACUUCAAAGCUUUGUGGGAGACAUCUUUCCCUUGAACCAGAUUUUAAACCGGAAUCUUCAUUGUUAGCCGGAAAUUUUCUGACGACCUUCAAAUUUUCAUCAAUAUGGUAGUAUCCUCCAGGACCGGGUUAUCUUUCCCUCCAACGUCCUGGGGUUCUUGACUUCACUGAAAACCGGCAACAUUUGCUGAGUCAUAUCAUUGUAGCCUCCGAGUCUCAAGGUGACUCGAGGAGUUGGCUUGAGAUUCUCCGUAUUUGACUGCGAUAUAAACCGGCAUCAGUUGUAUGUCAUUGGUGUUGAUAGCACAAUGUAAAUCCACAGAAGGUUGAGGUGACUGCGGCGGGUUAUAAAUGAUCCGUAUAAGCCAUGUCAGCAACUCGGCCAAUGGUUCUUUCCAAACUGGCUGCUUUAACCAAACUAUAGUAGUGGCGACUUGUACGCCUGCCCAUUGAGCCAUCCAGUGCAGAUGGCGGUUGAUAGUAUAUGAUAAUUUGCCUCCAUUUUGUUAAAAGAAAAACCGGGCUACCCAAGAUGUGACUUGCUCAUACUCAAUAAACAGCUCAUGCAGACAAGUGCGGCCCGGUAUGUUGAUGUAGACCACGCCGCGAGAGACGGACGACAAGGACGACCGCAACAUCAGAGGCGGCAUAGAUAAAUGAAUCGGCCGCAGCGUUGUACGCCGGUGCGGACAAGCAAGUUGUCCUCCUCAUUGUAAGCCGGCGCGGACGCGUGAACCGGCCGCGAGAGCGGGCGGGCGAGUCAUUCGUGGCGUUAUAAACCUGUGCGGACAGCGAGUCAAUCACAGGCGCAGUCCCGGCUAGUUGAUGUAGACCGGGUCGUACGAGCGGCGGCUUGUGCGCGUCCAUUCAUCGGGUAAUAUAUUACGGACUAUUGUCGGGUGGAACAUUGUCAGCUCGUGCUCCAUACCCAUGGUAUAAACCAUAUUUGUAGUGAAUGAUUGUCCUGAUAUGUUAAGCCGGAAAUUAUCCGUCGCAGAAUUGAUGAUCACCUCGGUGACGCUAAAACCAAUCACGAUCGAGUCAGCCGUGAGAGUAGACAGAUGAACCGGCCGCGGCGUUGUAAGCCGGAGCGAACAGGGAGAGUCGGCAGCGGCGUUGUAAACCAGUGCGGACGAGAGACGGCCACGGUGUUGUAAGCCGGUGCGGACAGCGAGUUAAUCGCGGGCGCGGUAACACGCGUGAACGGGCGGGUUGAUGUAGACCAGGCCACAGGGAUGGCAACUUGUGUACAUCCGCUCUUAUGGUAGCGUGGUACGGACGAAAAAAAACUCGGUGUGGAACAUUGCUAGCGCAUGCUCCGUACCCAUAGUAUAAUGUCUCUUUUAUAAUGAAUAAUUGUCCCGCGAAAGAAUAUUGCGGAUCAAGGCAAAGAUAAAAUGUUUUUUGACAAAAACAAUAUGUGCUAAUAAAACAAAUUUGGAUGGAUAUCACCUGAUUUGUUCGGAUGACGCAUGAUCCGCUCAAUGCGACCUGAACUGUUCCUUCGACCGUUCUGACUGAUGGCAUCAAGCGUCAAAUGGUAGCAGGAUUCGGUCUCUUGCACUUAUCACUCCUUUCGUUAUUCUUUCCCUUGUUUAACUUGCUCGUGGCACAAAGCCAUCCACUUUUGGUGAUCUUCUCAAUCCUGCAGUACAGGUACGUGCUAUCCCACGAAACUGGCAUAUUCAAUUUAAGCUUCAACCUUUCCUCCGCGGAUGCUGCGGCUCAUGGCAGUAGCGGAGAUGAGGACGCGGUGGGUUGGCGUUGCUCCGGUGGCUCAGAUGACUGCUAGGCCAAUACUCACGCGGAGGCAGCCGCGGCUCGAGGCCGCGGUGGCCCCGAGACGGAGCCAUGGCCAUGAGAAACGGCAGCACGCCGGUGAACCUGUAACGGCGGCUCGGGGCGUCAGAGGCGGCUCGCAGCCAGCGAGGCAGGUCACAACAAAGCCCGAGCCUUGGCGGAUCGGGGUGAAAACUGUCGGCCGGUGGCGACUUGCUGUCGAGGCGACUCGGGGCCAGCCCGACGGAGAUCGGUCAAAUGAGACCGGCUCGAAGGCGGAGACUGAGUUUCACGCCCAAAUCCACUCCGGGUCGUGGGUUGUUUCCUCUUUUUUUUAUCCUCUUAUCUCUUCUGUUCCGUAGUACUAGCACACCCAUGGAUCUCUCCUCUGCAAGGUUUGGUCGCCAUUUGUUUCCUUACUCGUAUAUGUAGCAGUGGGUACCUAACUCUGUCGCUUGACGUGAUGAGCACUAAUUGAAGUAUUAGUACUUGAGCCGAUGUGCUAUUUUACUCAAGCAAAAAAGACUCUCGCUGAAGCAGGCCUUGAUGCCCCUGACGACUGCUGGCUGCCUUCAGUUUUAUGAUUGGGGAAAGGUAAGAAACAGACACAGCGAUGCGCGGGUGUAGCGGCUUUGUACAGAAGCUUGUAAUAGAAAUCGAUCUCCGAUCGAAAAAAUACUGACGGCAGCGGCGCACGGAUGAAACCCAAAUUUCUUCUGAUCUCAACCUCUUAUACGCCGGGUCAUCCUGACAAUUAUUCCGUGCUGGCUUUUCUUCAUCUGCCCAAUCGCGAGCUUCUCAAUCCCUGAAUAAAUCCUUCCAAGAACUUAACAUCACCGUUCGCAAGCCCCACGGUGGACGCCAAUUGUCGUGGAAUUGUCACAGCAGAUGUCCUAGUGGGAGGACUUUCGUGAGGCCAACGCAUCUACACGGUAGCUUGAAGGGGUUGGUCAUGAUCGAGAGACGCGAGGCGAAUCAACACACAAGACAAGGAUUUAGACAGCUUCAGACCCCGGGAAACAUCAUCCGGAAUAGCCCUACAUGUUGUUUGUGGCUAGGUCUCAUUACGCUCAUGAGGGAGUCAUCGCAUAAAUUGGCUCUCCUCCUAGUUGUGUCUAGCCCUAGAGAUUAUUUUCUUCUUGCUUGUUACUUGUCCCUCUUGGGAAGCCCUGUCCCUCCUUAUAAAUGUUGAAGGGGCGGGUUACAUGACUAAUCCUAUUAGGAUUAGGAUUAUUCUAUUACAAGUAGAGUCCUAGUCUUGCUUCAUUUGUAGAAGAUUAUUCCUUACACCUUUCCUCUUAAACCGGCCCACCAUUAACAUAAACCGGUCUUCCGAGCCUUGGGCCUUGUCAUCCAUCUGAAACACGCGCCGGGUCACUAAUGAGUCUUCAGACUCGUGAAUCGUCAUACCAGUGAACCGCCAGACACGUAAGUCACCAAUCCUCUGUUAGGUUAUACUUCCGGCCGGUUUACGCCGCGGGGUAUAUCCCCAACACUGUCCAUGCAUAUAUUAUACCUUAGUUUCUUGGCAUGUUUGGAGGCUCAACCGUUAUCUUUGCACGCCGUGGAUAUAGGGGCAUGUAAUGAUGUCCGGUACACAUAUAGUCUGAUUGGCAUCUUCUAGGUGUUAUGUAGAUGAUGAUGUAGUCUGGGAUAUCAAUUACACUGUCAACCCAUCCAAAGCAGCUAUACUCAUCUGUAUCUACCAAGCCUUGUCCAGGCAUAUCAGUCCCCUCAACCAAAAUGAAUGGGCUAAGUAGCUGGCUUGCUAUCUCAUGUUGCAGAAGCCCAGCCGAAACUUCACUUAUAACAAUGCGAACAAAUCUGGUAAGGGAAGUUUGUUUACCACCAUAAGAAGGAGACCAAGGAAUAGCUCUGAAGAUGCGGCCACCAAGCUCAAUGUGUCCUCUAGUAACAACAGUUGAUCUAAAUGCGGCAAAUGUAGCAAAUUGAACAUCUCCUUCAUAAUGCACAAGGAAAGCAUCAUAACUGAUUGGCUUUACAUGAACAUAUCUAGACGCUGGUAUGUGUUGAAUUAUUGCAGAGAACACCUCUUGUGUGCCAAUGGGUUCAAAACCAUCACCAUGCUUGAGGAUCAUAGAAUGUAAUAAUUCUUGGAAUCUAUCGGGGUCGACCUCUGUGCCUUGAAGGAAACAAUGCAGCACAGUAGCAGCAACGUCUGGUACAAGUGGCAAUAACUCAGCUGGCCUCAACUUCUUAUUUAAAGGAUUGUUAAGCACCCUAAUAAGCACAGUGAACAUGUCUAGGUGGAGGCCUGGUGAUGUGCUUGCUGGAUGCUGAAACCUACACCUAACCUUAAUUUUCAUCCGCAACGACACAUUUUCUGGUGUGUCUGUCAAACAAACGCAUCAAAACACUGAAAGAUGUUUGUAGGCCAAUGUGUCAGGGUAAAGAUCAGAAACAACACAAUAUGGAUGCAACAUAAAAUCUGCUGUUUUAAAUGUCCAAAGGUGCAGUGGGAGGUUUCUUAUCUCAAUCAAGACCUGGGAUCCCGCAUAGUUAUCAUGAGAAUAAUAAUUGGGAGUACUACAAUAUGGUAUUGCUUCAUCUGUAGGCAGGGUGGUAAAAUGUAUGAUGUCCAAGCUAAGCCUCUGGUCAGAUUGAAUAAACUGCACUGCCUGACUGUAUUAUGGUUUAUCUGGGAUGCUAAUCAGAAAUUCCUCGUCAGGACUGUCCAAAGAGAAAACAUCGCCAUCUAAGUUGAAAGCCUGAGCUAGUGCAUCAUGAAAUCGAUUCUGUAUGGAUCUAUUAUCAGGAGAGAAAACAACUUGGAAAUGAUAAUGUGUCCGAAUCUCUGGGCAUUUUGUUUCUCCAUAAGAAACGAAUGCUCUUGUUAUAUCUCUUCUGAGAGAGACAGAUGAGGGCGAAAGACCUAGCAGGAUUAUAAAGGAAUUCAGGUUUAAUCGAUAUUUCAGUUCAACUAUUGAGGAAAAGAAAUCAGAUCCAUCCAGGAACAGAGGAGAAACAAGUGUAUAGACUAGUAGUCUAGGAAUGGAACUUGCUUGUGGUUAGAACGGCAGCGUGGGCCGCACCUUUGCCGGUUGAGGACGAUGUCAUCAGGUGAGAUUGGGAAGAUAUGGCGAAAGAAAAAACCCUAGAAAUAGCUAGGUCGAGGAUUGUGGCGGCGUGGCUGGUGGUGUGGAUGAAGUAAGCGAGAAGUUUAUAGAGCGCAGGUGGGAGGCAACAACAAGAUAGCGAAUCCAACGGUAGGAAAAGAGUGGAGCAGACAGAUCACUGUCUUUGGGCCACUUAGAUGUGGCGUGGAGACACGCCUCGCAGUGACAAAAGGGCCAAACGAGCCGAGAACAGAGCAAACGCAACCCAUAGGCUUGGUUGGCAUGUGAAAAUAAGAUGAGCAGCAGAGAGUAAAAAAAAAUUCAAUGGGAAACAUUCAUCCUAUCACUGAGAGAAAAACAAAUAAGAACCUAAGAACACGCAUAUAAUAAGUUCAAGUUCGCUUCAUAAUAUAGGGGAGUUUUGUUUUUGUCUUGCUCUGACAUUGCUACUUGAGCAGCCAAAGACUUUUUAGAAGGCACAGAUAUAAAUAGGGGAGUUUUAGACAUGCUUGGUAAGAAGCAUACAACCACACCAAGGUCCAUGCAAGAGGCAUACACGGCAAUGGGCUCUGCUUGUAGCUGGUCAAAGAGCAUUGUGAUGGAGGGUUGUCGAGAGCAAAGCUAGAUGCAUAAACCACCAUCUUUCUCCUUCGAUGUUGGUGAGGAGAAGCUAAUGUACAUAGGAUAGAUAGCCUACAGCAGAACGCAAAGCUUCAGAAACCGGUUCCAAGCAUGGCAAUGGCAAAAUAAUUCCAAUAACAUUACUAUAUAGGAAAAUUGUGGUGUACCUAUAGAUAUUUUAAGGUUGCGUAGGUAGGGCAAAGCAGUCACUGCUGCUUUGUUUUCUUCCCUGCUCCAGUUCCCUUUGCAGCAGCGGGGUUCCUUUAUUUCAAGGUGUUUCAGUCAAAGACAAACAAGUGGAAUGCUAUACACAGGCUGGAAAACUGCCUACAUUAGUGUAAUGUAAGAAGCAUUACCUCUUGUUUUUUUGAGGUGGACUCUUAUCAUCUUUUUCAUCAGCAGCACCUGAAGGAUCUUCAGCCUUUUCAUCAUCGUUCUCCUGGAGCACCCAGCAUAUACAUAAGCUUGAUAACAGACAAACAUAGUGUAUCGAUAUCGGAUGGUUAUUAGGGUAUGCAAUAGCAAGAUUUUGCCUUGCAUGAGAUAAGUAUUUGAUCCUAGAACGGAACAAAUAAACAAGCCAUACCUAAAAGGUAACACCUAUGUAUCAGUGCAUAACUAAGCUGCCUACUUAUUAAACAUAGAUAUGUGCAUUUAUAGUAUUAUCAGGUAUCUCAGCAGGAGCAUAGAAAUAUUUACCGUGGCUAUUUCGUCAAGCUUCUUUGGAGGAUCCUCUGCCAGAGGGAGUUUCUUGUUAUUGCCGGUAAAUAAAGCACGCCUGGCGCUGCUGGGUGGGCAUGGUGAUUUGCUAGAAAAUAAAACACGAGCAUGGGAGAAAGCAAGCAUUCGAAAACACUACAACAGUCCUUUUCAAAGAGGCAUACCCUGGAGAUGCAGAUGAAAGGAGACUGUCGGUGCCAAAACCGGCGGAUCUCGGGUAGGGGGUCCCGAACUGUGCGUCUAAGGCGGAUGGUAACAGGAGGCAGGGGACAUGAUGUUUACCCAGGUUCGGGCCCUCUCGGUGGAGGUAAAACCCUAUGUCCUGCUUGAUUGAUCUUGAUGAUAUGAGUAUUACAAGAGUUGAUCUACCACGAGAUCGUAGAGGCUAAACCCUAGAAGCUAGCCUAUGGUAUGAUUGUAUGUUGUCCUACGGACUACACCCUUCGGUUUAUAUAGACACCGGAGGGGGCUAGGAUUACACAGAGUCGGUUACAAGGGAGGAGAUCUACAUAUCUGUAUUGCCAAGCUUGCCUUCCACGCCAAGGAGAGUCCCAUCCGGACACAGGACGAAGUCUUCAAUCUUGUAUCUUCAUAGUCCAACAGUCCGGCCAAAGGGUAUAGUCCGGCUGUCUGGAGACCCCCUAAUCCAGGACUCCCUCAGAGACUAACGCUUAGCUUUGAAGUUGGUGUCUGCGCUUGGGUGUAAAAAAGGAAGUGAAAAGAAUUGCAUUAGUUUUGGGGCAUCUAGAUUGAAUAAAUACAGCGACAAAUCAUAAAGUAAGAAAACUACAUAUUGCGCCUGUAGGCGAUGGAAAGGUUAUAGCAAGGCUCCCUGACAAGUUGCCAGGCUGGGCUUGCUGGAUGCUUGGGGUACUCGGUGUAAACAUCUCAGAAGGCACUGGACUGUCAGUGAGGGAAGCAGAGGAUGAUGCUCCAGAUGCUCCAGGGACACAGUCAAAGGCAGGCGAGCUUAACUCAGGCUUGUAGAUUUCCAUAAUUUUCACAACCUAGAAUGAUAACCAUGUGCCUGUGGUUGCAAAGCUUCUCUUUGCAAUGUACACAAGAAGUUUAUACUUCUGCCCAACAAUCUGGGUAACCUCUGGUGGAGCAAUCCUAUCAACCAUUGUCACAUGAGCUAUCUCACGUAUGGUUGGAAGUCCUGGGUUUCUAAACUUCAGCAAAUUGAGGAGUGGUUUUCCAACAGCUGCUUUUCCAACUUUAUCAAACAUGGUGAACUCAGCCUCACCCACGUCAUCACUUGCAAACACAGAAAGAUAGUAUCUGCACACGACACGAAUAUAAUGAGGAUUCUAGCAAAGGACUAAUAAAACAUAGAAGAGGCAUGUCUAAAUAAAUCAGGUAGGAAACCUGAGGAAACAAACAAUACUAAACAAAAAGAAACACCAAACAGAGGUCUAGGAAGGCACAUACGUGUCCUGUGCUGCUAUGGAUGAGCAGUUAGGGUUGCCGCAUCGGUAGUUCGAUGCAACCAUUGUUGAGGUCUUGUUGCAGGCGGAGCAAGAAAACAACCACCAGCGUUGAUCAGGAUUGAGCCUCUGGACAAUAACGGUACAUAUGAACCGUUUUUCCUGUCGAAGCAACAUAACUUGCUGUUGAGCACAUGAUCAAGAAAAGUGAGAAUAACAUAUGGAGGAAAAGGCAGCGAGGAUACCACAUUUUCAUAAGGGUUCAGGUGGAGGAGCUCUGACACGGUCUUUUCAACUGGACCAACAUAGAUACGGGCAGUAAACGCAUUCUCAGUCAAAGCAGCAUCGUUAUCAAUGGGUUUGAAAUUAGUUCCCAACCUAAUUUAAUACGCAACGGAGGAGAUAGUUAGCACCUUUACAAAGAAAACAACAAUGUCUUCAUAUUCAUGGUUAAAGCAAGAAGCAUCCAGUUAGGAGGUACAUAGAAAUCACCUGUUGCAGAAGUCAUUUAUCACUGACAGAUCCUCAUCGAUGCACCAGCGACAAGCAGAACUACCACUAAGCCCUUGAACACCUGCAUAGUCAUGAAACAAUACAGAGGGGUAAGAUGCAAGAAUAUAGGACGAAAAGCUUGCACAAUACAGAAUGCAUAGAUGUAUAAGUUGCAGGAGCUUUAUCACAGAUGUAGAGCAACCACCUUGAUUUAUUUUAGGCAGUGUUCCUACGGAAAUUGCAAUCACAACUUCUUUUUCGUUUCUUGCCCGCACUGCAUCUUCCUCAAAUUCAAUGCUCGAUCACCCUAGAGGACCAGCUUUAGCUCCUUGCCCCUAUAGGUUUCAUAUCAUGAACAAAUCAGUAAAUAAGCAAAUGAGCAGGCGGCCUAGAACGGUGCAUGCAUAAUAACAAGUAAAUCACACUUACUGUAAGUCAGUGAGGAUUAUUGUCCUUGUGUUUGAUGGUUCUGGCUGAUGCAUUGAUUGGAUAGUGACCACAUCAGAAACAACAGUUAUUCUUCCAAUGACAUCUUCAAAACCAUGGAAUUCACAAUAGCAUCAGACCCCGGAUAUUUGAGAAGUAGUUUUAAAUUUACUGAGGCGUGCAGUGACACAACUUACCAAGGAAACGAGGCGGUGGCCCACAUGGCCUUGGGAUGUCCUGAAAUGGGACCAAAUUGUAGGUGCAGAAUGGGUAAUCUACUUCCAAGCCCGGGCGUAAAACAACAUUGCUAAACCUGGUGAACCGGAUCAUGAAGGGACUCUCAACAGGCCUAAAAGUGGUCUUUGCUUUAAUCCAGUUGAAGCUGCUCAUCAUGUAGACCUUUCCUUCAUGCAGCUCGUCCUUCAGGCGUUCUACUAGCUGAGGAGGUAUCUGCACAUACAUAUGGUUGCCCUGCCAACAAAAGCAACAAUCAGAAUGGUAUCCUAGGCCAAACAUGGAUAGGCGGCGUUGAGCUAGCUUUGUAAAGACAAACCUGACUAUCAAGAACAACCAAGUCCAUGUGCUGGAUAGGCCCAUUGCCAGUUCCUCCACGAUAAAACCACAGGCGUGAGACAAGGACAGAGACAACCCAUUGCCUACUGCGGUCAUGUAUCUCAGAGAGCAUCUGAUGCGCCAUCUACAAAGGCAGAGACACUUUUGGUUAGGAAGGUAAAAAUACACAGAGAAGCACCACACCAGGAUUUGCAAUACGAUAGCAUACCUAAGCGAAGUCAAGUGAAAAGACAUAGUAAACGAACCACAAAAAUAUGUUUAAUGCGUAAAUAGAUGCAUAGGAAAGAACAAUAUAUGUUAUCUUAGGUAAUGGGCAGCAAUAGAUAAAGUAAUAUUUACAACCUCAAAUCUUAGUGAAAAGGGAGCAGACAAUCAAAAUAUACUACCAAACCAGGAACCAUAAAAUAAUAGAGACCAAAAGGCAGCAAGUAGUAGUGAGACCAAAAGCAGCUCGCAAAAUAAAGCGUGACGUAAGCACUAUUGCAAAGACUGAAAGAUCUCAGAGAAAACUAUGUUUCUAGUGAGAUCCAAGCAUGCCAUCUUCAUUCUCGAUAAGUAUUUUCAAGUUUUUCUUGGAAGUCACACGUGAGACUGCCACGUAAAGCUGGCCAUGGGUGAAAACAGGACUUUUCAGGUAUAAUCCAACAGCCGAGAGAGUCUGUCCCUGGCUCUUAUUGAUGGUCAUGGCAUAACAAACCCUGACUGGAAACUGGCGAUGAUGCAAAAUAAAUGGCCAUUUAGGAUCCUUGGUAGUGAGGCAAAUCCUUGGAAUGUAUACAACAUCCCCGAUAUUAGAACCAGUCAUGAUAAUAGCCUCAAUGACUUUCUCACCAAGCUUGGAGACAACAAGACGAGUACCAUUACAAAGACCAGUUGCUUGACUUAAAUUCCUAAGGAGCAUAAUCGGCACACCUUUUUUCAAAACCAACUUCUGCUGCGGGAAAUUGUUAAUUUUAAUUGUAUUCAGGUACUCAAUAGGAUAAAACACAUCCAUGUUACGCAUUGAGUCAGUUGUAUUUCCUAUAGAAUCAUAGCUUAGAUACUCCCUCUCAGCAGAAGGCAUUAAGGCUAGCACAUGGUCAUUAACUUCUUGAGAUAGAUCAUUUGUUGUUGUUAAGAUAGCCCUUUGGCGCAAGUACUUUGGAUUAGAGCAGUUUUUAGCAAAGUUUGUGUAUACAACAUUAACAAUAGCACCUAUUCUAUUAUCCUCAGAAUGGAUCAACAUAUCAUCAGGAAUUGUUACCCAACUUGGCUCACACUCCCCUUGCCGAGUAACACAAGGUGCUGUGCCAUCACCAAUACUCAAGAUCCAACUAGCAAAAGAAGCUAUCUCAGCCUGUAAAACAUGAUCCGUUGUUUGCACAGCCAAACGCAUGUUUAUGUUAAGAUGCAGAACUUCUAUAAAAUGCCACAAAGGCGAAUUUGUUAUAGCAGCAUUUAUAACCUAUGAGCGAGUCCCACCCUCAAUGACUGGUAAAAUCUGUCUCAAAUCACCACCCAAAACCAUAACCUUACCACCAAAAGGCAUGUCAGCUAUAGAAGGAUCGUCGACAGACAGAAUAUCACGCAAGCUACGAUCCAACAUCUCAAAACAUCUACGAUGCAUCAUUAAAGCCUCAUCCCAUAUUAUCAGUGAGGUUGAUUCGAUCAUCUCUGCUAAUUUGCUAGAUCUUUUUAUAUCACAUGUUCUAGUGUCAUCUAGACUGAUUGGUAUUUUAAACCUAGAAUGAGCAGUCCUACCUCCAGGCAAAAGAAGUGCUGCAACCCCAGAAGACGCAACCGUGAGAACAAUCAUUUCUUUACCUCUAAGAUAAGCAAUUAUAGAACUCCAGAGAAAAGUCUUCCCAGUCCCACCAUAUCCAGAAACAAAGAAAAAGCCAGGUUUUCCAGACACAACUCCGUCGAUAAUAUUCUUAUAAGCUAGGAGUUGAUCUGGAUUUAAUUGGUUGUACAUGGUUUCUGCCUAUAGUAGUUCACUUUUAGGAUCAACACAUAGUUCAUCAGUUAUCAUGUCAUUGUCAUCAAAUUUAUCAUCAUAUACAGUCUUUAAUGGAAGCCUGUAAUAUAGAAUAUUAGAACCAUUUUUACUAAAUAGAAUGGUCAGUUUAUCAAGCAACAUGUCUCUCAGCUCAUCAGGAGGCACAACAUGACUAUCAUCACGAAAAGAGCGCUUGAUAUUGUACUUAAUAUCCUCAGCCAUGUGUGACCAAUAUUUUUCAAAAAAAGUAUUUUCAUCGUGAACUCCACAAUGGACAAGGAUUGUAACAAAAAGCCUGCGUAGCUGAUCCCCCAUACCCUAGGUCAAAGCCUCAUCAAACGCACUAUACCAUUCAAGAUCAUCUCCAAGCAAGCCCCUAGGAGCACAUGCCUCCUUAAAGGUUUCAUACACAAUCCCAUUAUAAGUUCUGACAUCCGUAUAAGACAUGGCACCUUUGACAACCGUCAGGAGCAUUCUAAGAUAGAAAAGCUCUCGAGCUGUAGGGUGCACAGAAUAUAUCCUACCAAUCAUAUAGCUCGAGGUCUUAGGAAUCCAUUGUUUUUUGCUUGCUAGCCAAGUCCAUUUGGUUGGGAAAUCACAAUAAGUAAGAGACCUAUCAUUUGCAUGGCAUCUAUUAGCUGCAAACCACUCGGUUAACAUUGUUCUUUGUAGCCACGCAUCGUCAGCAACUGACUUUAGGUUUGCUUUAACAUUGAAACGCGCCAUGUGUUUAUUUAACAAAUGACCGGGUAAUCUUUCAACAGAAGGCAUCUUACUGUGUAUAUCAAAGCCAUAUAUCCUCCAACAAUCAUCUUUAUCACAUAUGUAACGACAUUGUCUAUAUUCCAUGAUCUCAUUAAUCUCAAUACCAUGCUUGUUUUUGAUGCUUUCAAACAAAGUUUUUGAAAAAUCAGAACCCUUUGUAACAUACUUAUAAAGAUACUUGAUGAGAUGGGUUUUAUUGCACCACUCAAUGUUAAUAUGCGCCUGGUAUUUUUUUAGCAUGAGCAGAUUAUAUGGAACAACAUGCCUAUUAUCAAGCCUGACCUUCUUUUUAAAUAUAAAAUGACCGUUGUGUGGGCGACUAUACACAGGGAAUCCACUAUCAUCUAAAGAGGUUUCAAGCUGGAAUGACUUAGGAAAUUUUUUUGAACACAAUCCAUCUUUCAUGCAAGGACAUUUAAUACCAUCUUCCCCGCAAGGGCCGUGCAUCAUGUGCUCAUAAACAAGAACAUAUCCAAGAGGAUCCGCAAUAGGAUCCGGGAUGGAAGCCGAUAUAAAAGAGUCAAUCAAAGCAUGAUUAACCUCCCGUUUUUUCCUAUCAAGUCAGAUCAGGAUAUGGGCAUGAGGAAGCCCUCUUUUCUGAAACUCCACAGUGUGCAGUACUGUGAAUAAAGGGGAAAACGAUCACGAGUUGAGGUGGAAAAGAACAGAAGAAAAUGAAUGAGAGCAAUCGCAAAGGACGUUUUACCAGCUACGACAGGACCAAAGGCCUCCCCACUCUUAAUAUCAUGAAUAUAGUCAUUGAGCUUCAUGUGAUAAACCCUGACCGGAAGAUCUGCCCUGUCUGAAGGCACCUGGCCAUGCUUAGAACACAUGGCUUCUGUUAUCUCGGGCCACUUGGGAUUACAUGUAAAGGUGGUGAAAAGGUCUGGUGGGCCUAAGACACGCGAAAUGGCCAUUGCGUCUUGGAAGUUCUCAAUCAUAUAAUGCCGGCCACCGGUAAAAGAGGAUGGAAGUAUGUUUUUCUUGCCAACAGAACUUGCAUCUGUCUGCCCUUUUCCAACAACAUCAGUGAUUCCUUGCAAGUUCUCUGCUCUAAGAUAAUUAUUAGCCUUCAUGAUAAAAUGCAGCCUCCACUCCUCUAUGCAAGCGCGCGCAUAUACAAUGGCCUGUGAGGAAAGCAAACCACAACAAAGGUAUGGAUUAUGCUGCUCUGGCCUAUAGUGGAGACAAUAGGAAUAAUAGUCCUACAUGGUGAGCCUGGUUCUUUUGCUAGUAUCUAAAGGGUCUAAACCAAUAUAUUUAAGCCCAAGCUGAAACCCACGUUCUGCAUAGGGGAAGAGAAGAGGAUACUGCAAAGGCAUAUAUGAAGUUUACAAAGAAGAUAUUUGUUGCAGAUUGUCAUCUCUACCAUGUAUUAUAAUGUCACGACAAGAAGUCUCCACCGUAAACUCACCAAACAUUAAAGACGCUAGCUCGUCAGUUGUAGGAAGGCUAAACUGUGGGCCAUCAGAUUCUCCAGGGGCAACUAAACGAAUGGCUAUCUCGACAUGCUUAUUGGCCGCUAGUAUUUCUCUAGCUGAUCUAAACGUUUUGACAUAAGAAUUGUGUGUAUCAAGCAUGUGCAUCAAGCCUUCAAUAAUAGACUCAUCUAAACCACCAUUACUCUUUUCAACCUUUUCUAAAUCCUGAAUCAUGUUUUGCACCUCAUUCUGGGCAUCAUAUAUAUAGAGCUCAGCAUACUUAGGGGUAUUUCCUUCCUUAGGCAUAAGAGACCCCAUUCUACGACAAACCUGGCAGUUUAUUUUAUAUAUAUUUGGACCAUUACCACAGCACCGAAUGGUCAACAGUAGUUCCCAUGGAAGUAAAUGCAAAGAGGCAGUUGUACUGACGAUUUUUUUAUAAACUCUCUGCUACGCGAGGGACCAUUAUAUCUCAACAACUUAGAGAGAAAUAAGGGUGGCUUCUUAAAAGGUGUAAUAUACACCUUACCACCCUUGCAACAUUUGUUGUAAACCACCCGCCUUAGUGUAAUACAAGAGUCCGAUCUCACCCUCUCCUCGAACCAGAAGGCUGCACCGCACUUGGUACAUUUGUAGUCUGGGCCAUCAUAGAAAGAUCUCUUUCGGUACCCAGCUGCAAAUUCAUUUUGCCUCAGUAACAAUAGCAAAUCAGUAAUGCAUCAUACAAUAGUUUCUAGACACAUCGGCACUCAACAUACCUUUCAGCAUCUCAGACUCCUCAGCCGUGAAUCCAACCCAGUCAGCACUUAAGGGUGAUCCAAUGGCAGGUUCCUUUCCCCUAAGUCUAUCGACAACCACCCUGCAUCUCUUUCUAUUACGGGCCGUAAUUUCUGGGCUAAGAAUGGGGAAGAAACCAUCAUCUAAAAAAAUAAAGGCCACGCCACAAGUACAAAGAGGAAUCGAGAGUAUGCAAGAGGCACACCCACAAAGCAAAAGAACCUAUUUCAAAAGGGCAUCUCGUACAUUUUCUUUCAGGCAGGCCCGGCGAUAUGUAAGUUAACAGCGAGUCACAGAAAGACAGUUUUCGUUGAACAACACGGCGCGGAGGCGGUUGGUCGGCGCUUGAACUGGCCUUACGACGAACAGAACGGCGUGGAGGCAUGAUUCAGAAGGGGGACAUGAAGAACAGAACAACCACAACACACUGCAACAUAAACGUAACACAAGGAAAGGCAAUCUAAUCAGGCGCAUAACACAGCAAGAAGGCAUGCACCUAUAGCAAGAAACAGAACCCAAAAAACAAGGCUCUACAAAGGGCAUGGAACUAACAUUUUUUAAACGAACGAGAGAGGCAUUCCAAAAGCAAACUCAGGAAGAAAAGCAUGAUGUUUUUUCCUAAGAAUGCUAAAAUACAUAGGCAGAACAAAAAAGCCAUCAAACAAAAUCAAAGGGACAUGCCUUUGAAAGCCUAAGAAAAACCACCAGUGCAAAAAAACAGAGAAGAGAGAGAGAGAGAGAGAGAGAGAGAGAGAGAGAGAGAGAGAGCAAGCCCAAGAAACACCUUCCCAAGAGCCCAUGGAAAACUAUAAGCCCAAAGGCACAGGAUCCUCCAGAGGCCAUGCCCCAAGAAACACAUUUCCCAAAAGCCCAUGAAGAACCACAAGCCCAAAGGAACAGGCUCCUCUAAAGCCUGUUCUAGUUUUUUCUCUAUAAGAGAAGGUGCGGUCCAAAGGCCAAAUACCCAGCCGGGGAAGAAUCAAUAAACACGUAACACAUCUAUUAUUUAGGCACGUGGGAAGAGUAUUGGAUCUGAAGAAGAAGGAUAUUAUUUUUAGUCUCGCAAAACAUAGAAAGAAGACACUGUAAGGGCCAAAGGCCAGGUAUAUAAGAGACAUAUAAAAAGUCCAAAGACUUUAUUGCAUCAGAGGAAUGAACCAAUUCAGUACAAAGUAGGCACGGAGGCCCAAAUAAGAAGCCAAGAAAAGAUACCUAAAAAGAUUAAAGAGAGGAAAGCAUUUGAGAGCACAGUAGACCCCAGUCAAACUGGACCAGAACAGGGGCAACAUCUGGAUUUAUCUCCGUGUCCGCAAACGUACGGCGCAAGCGCAAUAGCUCUCUCUCCAAGUGACCAACACGCCGAAUGGCAGAGACUGCAACCGUUAUGGAAGAACGAAGGGAGCUCCUAUAGGCCAUCAUACAGUCAUAAUUAUAGUCUCGAACCACAAACCCAUACAGACGCUGCAGAAAACUUAUGGCCUGGAGGGCAGCUGAUACGUUUCCAACGUAUCUAUAAUUUUUGAUUGCUCCAUGCUAUAUUAUCUACAGUUUUGAACAUUAUUGGGCUUUAUUAUCCACUUUUAUAUUAUUUUUGGGACUAACCUAUUAACCGGAGGCCCAACCCAGAAUUGAUGUUUUUUGCCUGUUUUAGGGUUUCGAAGAAAAGGAAUAUCAAACGGAGUCCAAACGGAAUGAAACCUUCGGGGACGUGAUUUUUAGGAAGAUUAUGAUCCGGGAGACUUGGACCGUACGUCACGAAAGAAAACAGGAGGGCACGAGGUAGGGGGGUGCGCCCACCCCACCAGGCGCGCCCUCCACCCUCGUGGGCCCCCUGUUGCUCCACCGACGUACUCCUUCCUCCUAUAUAUACCUACGUACCCCCAAACGAUCAGAUACAGAGCCAAAACCCUAAUUCCACCACCAUAACUUUCUAUAUCCACGAGAUCCCAUCUUGGGGCCUGUUCCGGAGCUCCGACGGAGGGGGCAUCGAUCACGGAGGGCUUCUACAUCAACACCAUAGCCUCUCCGAUGAAGUGUGAGUAGUUUACCUCAGACCUACGGGUCCAUAGUUAGUAGCUAGAUGGCUUCUUCUCUCUUUUUGGAUCUCAAUACAAUGUUCUCCCCCUCUCUUGUGGAGAUCUAUUCGAUGUAAUCUUCUUUUUGCGGUGUGUUUGUUGAGACCGAUGAAUUGUGGGUUUAUGAUCAAGUCUAUCUAUGAAUAAUAUUUGAUUCUUCUCUGAAUUCUUUUAUAUAUUAUUGGUUAUCUUUGCAAGUCUCUUCGAAUUAUUAGUUUGGUUUGGCCUACUAGAUUGAUCUUUCUUGCAAUGGGAGAAGUGCUUAGCUUUGGGUUCAAUCUUGCGGUGUCCUUUCCCGGUGACAGUAAGGGCAGCAAGGCACGUAUUGUAUUGUUGCCAUCGAGGAUAACAAGAUGGGGUUUUCUUCAUAUUGCAUGAGUCUAUCCCUCUACAUCAUGUCAUCUUGCUUAAGGCGUUACUCUGUUUUUAACUUAAUACUCUAGAUGCAUGUUGGAUAGCGGUCGAUGAGUGGACUAAUAGUAGUAGAUGCAGGCAGGAGUCGGUCUACUUGUCUCGGACGUGAUGCCUAUAUACAUGAUCAUACCUAGAUAUUCUCAUUGAAGGAAAUAUGCCCUAGAGGCAAUGAUAAAGUUAUUAUUUAUUUCCUUAUAUCAUGAUAAAUGUUUAUUAUUCAUGCUAGAAUUGUAUUAACCGGAAACAUAAUACUUGUGUGAAUACAUACACAAACAAAGUGUCACUAGUAUGCCUCUACUUGACUAGCUCGUUAAUCAAAGAUGGUUAUGUUUCCUAACCAUGAACAAUGAGUUGUUAUUUGAUUAACGGGAUCACAUCAUUAAGUGAAUGAUCUGAUUGACAUGACCCAUUCCAUUAGCUUAGCACCCGAUCGUUUAGUAUGUUGCUAUUGCUUUCUUCAUGACUUAUACAUGUUCCUAUGACUAUGAGAUUAUGCAACUCCCGUUUGCCAGAGGAACACUUUGUGUGCUACCAAACGUCACAACGUAACUGGGUGAUUAUAAAGGAGCUCUACAAGUGUCUCCAAAGGUACAUGUUGGGUUGGCGUAUUUCGAGAUUAGGAUUUGUCACUCCGAUUGUCGGAGAGGUAUCUCUGGGCCCUCUCGGUAAUGCACAUCACUUAAGCCUUGCAAGAAUUGCAACUAAUGAGUUAGUUACAGGAUGAUGUAUUACAGAACGACUAAAGAGACUUGCCGGUAACGAGAUUGAACUAGGUAUUGGAAUACCGACGAUCGAAUCUCGGGCAAGUAACAUACCGAUGACAAAGGGAACAACGUAUGUUGUUAUGCGGUCUGACCGAUAAAGAUCUUCGUAGAAUAUGUAGGAGCCAAUAUGGGCAUCCAGGUCCCGCUAUUGGUUAUUGACCGGAGACAUGUCUCGGUCAUGUCUACAUUGUUCUCGAACCCGUAGGGUCCGCACGCUUAAAGUUACGAUGAUAGUUAUAUUAUGAGUUUAUGCAUUUUGAUGUACCAAAGUUUGUUCAGAGUCCCGGAUGUGAUCACGGACAUGACGAGGAGUCUCGAAAUGGUCGAGACAUAAAGAUUGAUAUAUUGGAAGCCUAUGUUUGGAUAUCGUAAGUGUUCCGGGUGAAAUCGGGAUUUUACCGGAGUACCGGGAGGUUACCGGAACCCCCCGGGAGCUAUAUGGGCCAUAGUGGGCCUUAGUGGAAAAGAGAAGUGGCAGCCCAACAUGGGCCGCGCGCCCCUCCCCUCCCUUGGUCCGAAUAGGACAAGGAGAGGGGGCCGGCCCCUCUCUCUCCUUUCCCCCCCUCCGCGAAUCCUAUUCCAACUAGGAGUGGGGGGGGGGAAUCCUACUCCUAGAGGGAGUAGGACUCUCCUGGCGCACCCUAUGUGGCCGGCCAGCCUCCCCCCUUUAGUCCUUUAUAUACGGAGGCAGGGGCACCCCAGAAACACACAAGUUGAUCUUCGUGAUCGUUCCUUAGCCGUGUGCGGUGCCCCCCUCCACCAUAUUCCACCUCGGUCAUAUUGUAGCGGAGCUUAGGCGAAGCCCUGCGACAGUAGUACAUCAAGAUCAUCACCACGCCGUCGUGCUGACGGAACUCUUCCCCGACACUUUGCUGGAUCGGAGUCCGGGGAUCGUCAUCGAGCUGAACGUGUGCUAAAACUCGGAGGUGCCGUAGUUUCGGUACUUGAUCGGUCGGGCCAUGAAGACGUACGACUACAUCAACCAAAUGCUUCCGUUGUAGAUCUACCAAGGGUACGUAGAUCACACUCUCCCCUCGUUGCUAUGCAUCACCAUGAUCUUGCGUGUGCGUAGGAAAUUUUUUGAAAUUACUACGUUCCUCAACAGUGGCAUCCGAGCCUAGGUUUUAUAUGUUGAUGUUAUAUGCACGGGUAGAACACAAGUGAGUUGUGGGCGAUAUAAGUCAUACUGCUUACCAGCAUGUCAUACUUUGGUUCGGCGGUAUUGUUGGACGAAGCGGCCCGGACCGACAUUACGCGUACGCUUACGCGAGACCGGUUCUUCCGACGUGCUCUGCACAUAGGUGGCUUGCGGGUGACAGUUUCUCCAACUUUAGUUGAACCAAGUGUGGCUAUGCCCGGUCCUUGCGAAGGUUAAAAUAGCACCAACUUGACAAACUAUCGUUGUGGUUUUGAUGCGUAGGUAAGAUUGGUUCUUGCUUAAGCCCGUAGCAGCCACGUAAAACUUGCAACAACAAAGUAGAGGACGUCUAACUUGUUUUUGCAGGGCAUGUUGUGAUGUGAUAUGGUCAAGACAUGAUGCUGAUUUUUAUUGUAUGAGAUGAUCAUGUUUUGUAACCGAGUUAUCGGCAACUGGCAGGAGCCAUAUGGUUGUCGCUUUAUUGUAUGCAAUGCAAUCGCGAUGUAAUGCUUUACUUUAUCACUAAACGGUAGCGAUAGUCGUGGAAGCACAAGCUUGGCGAGACGACAACGAUGCUACGAUGGAGAUCAAGGUGUCACGCCGGUGACGAUGGUGAUCACGACGGUGCUUCGGAGAUGGAGAUCACAAGCACAAGAUGAUGGCCAUAUCAUAUCACUUAUAUUGAUUGCAUGUGAUGUUUAUCUUUUAUGCAUCUUAUCUUGCUUAGAUUGAUGGUAGCAUUAUAAGAUGAUCUCUCACUAAUUAUCAAGAAGUAUUCUCCCUGAGUAUGCACCGUUGCGAAAGUUCUUCGUGCUGAGACACCACAUGAUGAUCGGGUGUGAUAGGCUCUACGUUCAAAUACAACGGGUGCAAAACAGUUGCACACGCGGAUUACUCAGGUUAUACUUGGCGAGCCAAGCAUAUACAGAUAUGGCCUCGGAACACGGAGACCGAAAGGUCGAGCGUGAAUCAUAUAGUAGAUAUGAUCAACAUAGUGAUGUUCACCAAUGAAACUACUCCAUCUCACGUGAUGAUCGGACAUGGUUUAGUUGAUUUGGAUCACGUAAUCACUUAGAGGAUUAGAGGGAUGUCUAUCUAAGUGGGAGUUCUUAAGUAAUAUGAUUAAUUGAACUUAAAUUUAUCAUGAACUUAGUCCUGGUAGUAUUUUGCAAAUUAUUGUAGAUCAAUAGCUCGCGUUGUUGCUUCCCUGUGUUUAUUUUGAUAUGUUCCUAGAUAAAAUUGUGUUGAAAGAUGUUAGUAGCAAUGAUGUGGAUUGGAUCCGUGAUCUGAGGUUUAUCCUCAUUGCUGCACAGAAGAAUUAUGUCCUUGAUGCACCGCUAGGUGACAGACCUAUUGCAGGAGCAGAUACAGACGUUAUGAACGUUUGGCUAGCUCAAUAUGAUGACUACUUGAUAGUUUAGUGCACCAUGCUUAAUGGCUUAGAAUCGGGACUUCAAAGACGUUUUGAACGUCAUGGAGCAUAUGAGAUGUUCCAGGAGUUGAAGUUAAUAUUUCAAGCAAAUACUCGAGUUGAGAGAUAUGAAGUCUCCAACAAGUUCUAUAGCUAAAAGAUGGAGGAGAAUCGCUCAACUAGUGAGCAUGUGCCCAGAUUGUCUGAGUACUACAAUCGCUUGAAUCAAGUGGGAGUUAAUCUUCCAGAUAAGAUAGUGAUUGACAGAAUUCUCUAGUCACCAUCACCAAGUUAGUAGAACUUCGUGAUGAACUAUGAUAUGCAAGGGAUAAUGGAAACGAUUCCCAAGCUCUUCGUAAUGCAGAAAUUGACGAAGGUAGAAAUCGAGAAAAACAUCAAGUGUUGAUGGUAGACAAGACCACUAGUUGCAAGAAAAGGGCAGAGGAAAGAAGGGGAACUUCAAGAAGAACAGCAAGCAAGUUGCUUCUCAAGUGAAGAAGCCCAAGUCUGAUCCUAAGCCUGAGACUAAGUGUUUCUACUGCAAAGGGACUGGUCACUGGAAGCAGAACUACCCCAAGUGAUUGGCAGAUAAGAAGGAUGGCAAAGUGAACAUAAGUAUAUUUGAUACAUAUAUUAUUGAUGUGUACUUUACUAGUGUUUAUAGCAACCCCUCAGUAUUUGAUACUAGUUCAGUUGCUAAGAUUAGUAACUCGAAACGAGAGUUGCAGAAUAAACAGAGACUAGUUAAGGGUGAAGUGACGAUGUGUGUUGGAAGUGGUUCCAAGAUUGAUAUGAUCAUCAUCGCACACUCCCUAUACUUUCGGGAUUAGUGUUGAACCUGAAUAAGUGUUAUUUGGUGUUUGCGUUAAGCAUGAAUAUGAUUUGAUCAUGUUUAUUGUAAUACGGUUAUUCAUUUAAGUAAGAGAAUAAAUUGUUGUUCUGUUUACAUGAAUAAAACCUUAUAUGGUUACACACCCAAUGAAAAUAGUUCGUUGGAUCUCGAUCAUAGUGAUACACAUAAUCAUAAUAUUGAAACCAAAAGAUGCAAAGUUAAUAAUGAUAGUGCAACUUAUUUGUAGCACUGCCGUUUAGGUCAUAUUGGUGUAAAGCGCAUGAAGAAACUCCAUGCUGAUGGGAUUUUGGAAUCACUUGAUUAUGAAUCACUUGAUGCUUGCGAACCAUGCCUCAUGGGCAAGAUGACUAAGACUCCGUUCUCCGGAGCGAGCAACUGACUUAUUGGAAAUAAUACAUACUGAUGUAUGCGGUCCGAUGAGUGUUAAGGCUCAUGGCAAGUAUCGUUAUUUUCUGAACUUCACAGAUGAUUUGAGCAGAUAUGGGUAUAUCUACUUGAUGAAACAUAAGUCUGAAACAUUUGAAAAGUUCAAAGAAUUUCAAGAGUGAAGUGGAAAAUCAUCGUGACAAAGAAAAUAAAGUUUCUACGAUCUGAUCGCGGAGACAAAUAUUUGAGUUACGAGUUUGGUCUUCAAUUAAAACAAUGUGGAAUAGUUUCACAAACUCAUGGCACAUGGAACACCACAGCAUAAUGGUGUGUCCGAACGUCAUAACCGUACUUUAUUGGAUAUAGUGCAAUCUAUGAUGUCUCUUACCGAUCUACCACUAUCGUUUUGGGGUUAUGCAUUAGAGACAGCUGCAUUCACGUUAAAUAGGGCACCAUCUAAAUCCGUUGAGACGACAACAUAUGAACUAUGUUUUGGCAAGAAACCUAAGCUGUCGUUUCUUAAAGUUUGGGACUGUGAUGCUUAUGUGAAAAGGUUUCAACAUGAUAAGCUCGAACCCAAAUCGAAGAAGUAAAUCUUCAUAGGAUAUCCAAAGGAAACUAUUGGAUACACCUUCUAUCACAGAUCCGAAGGCAAGACUUUUGUUGCUAAAUUCGGAAACUUUCUAGAGAAGGAGUUUCUCUCGAAAGAAGUGAGUGGGAGGAAAGUAGAACUUGAUGAGGUAACUGUACCUGCUCCCUUAUUGGAAAGUAGUUCAUCAUAGAAAUCUGUUCCUGUAACUACUACACCAAUUAGUGAGGAAGCUAAUGAUGAUGAUCAUGUAACUUCAGAUCAAGUUACUACCGAAUCUCGUAGGUAAACCAGAGUGAGAUCCGCACCAGAGUGGUACAUUAAUCCUGUUCUAGAAGUCAUGUUACUAGACCAUGACGAACUUGCGAACUAUGAGGAAGCGAUGAUGAGCCCAGAUUCCAUGAAAUGGUUUGAGGCCAUAAAAUCUGAGAUAUGAUCCAUGUAUGAGAACAAAGUAUGGACAUUGAUGGAUUUGUCCGAUGAUCGGCAAGCCAUAGAAAUAAAUGGAUCUUCAAGAGGAAGACGGACGCUGAUAGUAGUGUUACUAUCUACAAAGCUAGAAUUAUCGCAAAAGGUUUUUGACAAGUUCAAGGUGUUGACUACGAUGAGAUUUUCUCACUCGUAUAUAUGCUUAAGUCUAUCCGAAUCAUGUUAGCAAUUGCCGCAUUUUAUGAAAUCUGGCAAAUGGAUAAACAAAACUGCAUUCCUUAAUGGAUUUCUUAAAGAAGAGUUGUAUAUGAUGCAACCAGAAGGUUUUGUCAAUCCUAAAGGUGUUAACAAAAUAUGCAAGCUCCAACGAUCCAUCUAUGGACUGGUGCAAGCAUCUCGGAGUUGGAAUAUACGCUUUGAUAAGUUGAUCAAAGCAUAUAGUUUUAUACAGACUUACGGUGAAGCCUGUAUUUACAAGAAAGUGAGUGGGAGCACUACAACAUUUCUGAUAAGUAUAUGUGAACAACAUAUUGUUGAUCGGAAAUAAUGUAUAAUUUUCUGGAAAGCAUAAAGGAAUAUUUGAAAGGAGUUUUUCAAAGAAAGACCUCGGUAAGGCUGCUUACAUAUUGAGCAUCAAGAUCUAUAGAGAUAGAUCAAGACGCUUGAUAAGUUUUUCAAUGAGUACAUACCUUGACAAGAUUUUGAAGUAGUUCAAAAUGGAACAGUCAAAGAAAGAGUUCUUGCCUGUGUUGCAAGGUGUGAAAUUGAGUAAGACUCAAAGCCCGACCACGGCAGAAGAUAGAAAUAGAAUGAAAGUCAUUCCCUAUGCCUCAGCCAUAGGUUCUAUAAAGUAUGCCAUGCUGUGUACCAGAUCUACUGUAUACCCUACACUGUGUUAAGCAAGGGAGUACAAUAGUGAUCUAAGAGUAGAUCACUGGACAGCGGUCAAAAUUAUCCUUAGUGGAAUAAGGAAAUAUUUCUCAAUUAUGGAGGUGACAAAAAGGUUCAUCGUAAAAAGUUACGCCGAUGCAAGUUUUGACACAGAUCUGGAUGACUCUAAGUCUCGAUCUAGAUACAUAUUGAAAGUGGGAGCAAUAAGCUAGAGUAGCUCCGUGCAGAGCAUUGUUGACAUAGAAAUUCGCAAAAUACUUAUGGAUCUGAAUGUGACAGACCCGUUAACUAAAAUUAUCUCACAAGCAAAACAUGAUCACACCUUAGUACUCUUUGGGUGUUAAUCACAUAGCGAUGUGAACUAGAUCACUGACUCUAGUAAACCCUUUGGGUGUUGAUCACAUAUUGAUGUGAACUAUGGGUGUUAAUCACAUGGUGAUGUGAACUAUUGCUGUUAAAUCACAUGGCGAUGUGAACUAGAUUAUUGACUCUAGUGCAAGUGGGAGACUGAAGGAAAUAUGCCCUAGAGGCAAUGAUAAAGUUAUUAUUUAUUUCCUUAUAUCAUGAUAAAUGUUUAUUAUUCAUGCUAGAAUUGUAUUAACCGGAAACAUAAUACUUGUGUGAAUACAUAGACAAACAAAGUGUCACUAGUAUGCCUCUACUUGACUAGCUCGUUAAUCAAAGAUGGUUAUGUUUCCUAACCAUGAACAAUGAGUUGUUAUUUGAUUAACGGGAUCACAUCAUUAAGUGAAUGAUCUGAUUGACAUGACCCAUUCCAUUAGCUUAGCACCCGAUCGUUUAGUAUGUUGCUAUUGCUUUCUUCAUGACUUAUACAUGUUCCUAUGACUAUGAGAUUAUGCAACUCCCGUUUGCCGGAGGAACACUUUGUGUGCUACCAAACGUCACAACGUAACUGGGUGAUUAUAAAGGAGCUCUACAGGUGUCUCCAAAGGUACAUGUUGGGUUGGCGUAUUUCGAGAUUAGGAUUUGUCACUCUGAUUGUCGGAGAGGUAUCUCUGGGCCCUCUCGGUAAUGCACAUCACUUAAGCCUUGCAAGCAUUGCAACUAAUGAGUUAGUUGCGGGAUGAUGUAUUACAGAACGAGUAAAGAGACUUGCCGGUAACGAGAUUGAACUAGGUAUUGGAAUACCGACGAUCGAAUCUCGGGCAAGUAACAUACCGAUGACAAAGGGAACAACGUAUGUUGUUAUGCGGUCUGACCGAUAAAGAUCUUCGUAGAAUAUGUAGGAGCCAAUAUGGGCAUCCAGGUCCCGCUAUUGGUUAUUGACCGGAGACAUGUCUCGGUCAUGUCUACAUUGCUCUCGAACCCGUAGGGUCCGCAUGCUUAAGGUUACGAUGACAGUUAUAUUAUGAGUUUAUGCAUUUUGAUGUACCGAAGUUUGUUUGGAGUCCCAAAUGUGAUCACGGACAUGACGAGGAGUCUCGAAAUGGUCGAGACAUAAAGAUUGAUAUAUUGGAAGCCUAUGUUUGGAUAUCGGAAGUGUUCCGGGUGAAAUCGGGAUUUUAGCGGAGUACCGGGAGGUUACCGGAACCCCCCGGGAGCUAUAUGGGCCAUAGUGGGCCUUAGUGGAAAAGAGAAGAGGCAGCCCAACAUGGACCGCGCGCCCCUCCCCUCCCUUGGUCCGAAUAGGACAAGGAGAGGGGGCCGGCCCCUCUCUCUCCUUUCCCCCGCUCCGCGAAUCCUAUUCCAACUAGGAGUGGGGGGGGAAUCCUACUCCUAGAGGGAGUAGGACUCUCCUGGCGCGCCCUAUGUGGCCGGCCAGCCUCCCCCCUUUAGUCCUUUAUAUACGGAGGCAGGGGCACCCCAGAAACACACAAGUUGAUCUUUGUGAUCGUUCCUUAGCCGUGUGCGGUGCCCCCCUCCACCAUAUUCCACCUCGGUCAUAUUGUAGCGGAGCUUAGGCAAAGCCCUGCGACAGUAGUACAUCAAGAUCGUCACCACGCCGUCGUGCUGACGGAACUCUUCCCCGACACUUUGCUAGAUCGGAGUCCGGGGAUCGUCAUCGAGCUGAACGUGUGCUAAAACUCGGAGGUGCCGUAGUUUCGGUACUUGAUCGGUCGGGCCGUGAAGACGUACGACUACAUCAACCAAAUGCUUCCGUUGUCGAUCUACCAAGGGUACAUAGAUCACACUCUCCCCUCGUUGCUAUGCAUCACCAUGAUCUUGCGUGUGCGUAGGAAUUUUUUUGAAAUUACUACGUUCCUCAACACUCAUAACUAUGCUCAAUUCUGUCAAUUGCUCAACAGUAAUUUGUUCACCCACCGUAGAAUACUUAUGCUCUCAAGAGAAGCCACUAGUGAAACCUAUGCCCCCGGGUCUAUCUUUAUCAUAUUAAUCUCCUACUACUUAGUUAUUUCCUUUGAUAUUUACUUUGCCUUUAUUUUACUUUGCAUCUUUAUCAUAAAAAUACCAAAAAUAUUAUCUUAUCAUAUCUAUCAGAUCUCACUUUCGUAAGUGGCCCUAUAGGGAUUCACAACCCCUAUUUGCGUUGGUUGCGAGGAUUUAUUUGUUUUGUGCAGGUGCGAGGGACUAGCGCGUAACCUCCUACUGGAUUGAUACCUUGGUUCUCAAAAACUGUGGGAAAUACUUACGAUAAUUUGCUGCAUCAUCUCUUCCUCUUCUGGGAAAACCAACGCAGUGCUAAAAGAGGUAGCAAGAAGGAUUUCUGGCGCCGUUGCCGGGGAGGUCUACGCAAAAGUCAACAUACCAAGUACCCAUCACAUACCCUUAUCUCCCGCAUUACAUUAUUUUCCAUUUGCCUCUCGUUUUCCUCUCCCCCACUUCAUCCUUGCUAUUUUAUUCGCCCUCUCUCUCUCUAUCCUCCCUCUCUAUUUGCCUCUUUUUGCCCGCUUGCUUUUUGUUUGCUUGUGUGUUAGUUUGCUUGCUUGUCACGAUGGCUCAAGAUAAUACUAAAUUGUGUGACUUCACCAAUACCAACAACAAUGAUUUUAUUAGCACUUUGAUUGCUCCUCUUGCCGAUGCUGAAUCUUGUGAAAUAAAUGCUACUUUGCUGAAUCUUGUCAUGAAAGAUCUGUUCUCCGGCCUUCCUAGUGAAGAUGCCGCUACCCAUCUAAAUAGCUUCGUUGAUUUGUGUGACAUGUAAAAGAAGAAAGAUGUGGAUAAUGAUAUUGUUAAAUUGAAGCUAUUUCCUUUUUCUCUUAGAGAUCGUGCUAAAGCUUGGUUUUCGUCUUUGCCUAAAAAUAGUAUUGAUUCAUGGAACAAGUGCAAAGAUGCUUUUAUCUCUAAGUAUUUUCCUCCCGCUAAGAUCAUCUCUCUUAGAAACGAUAUUAUGAAUUUUAAUCAACUUGAUCAUAAACAUGUUGCACAAGCUUGGGAGAGAAUGAAAUUAAUGAUACGUAAUCGCCUUACUCAUGGUUUAAAUUUGUGGAUGAUUAUACAAAAAUUUUAUGCCGGAUUGAAUUUUGCUUCUAGAAAUAUUUUAGAUUCGGCCGCGGAAGGCACUUUUAUGGAAAUCACUUUAGGAGAAGCUACUAAACUCCUAGAUAAUAUUAUGGUUAAUUAUUCUCAAUGACAUACUGAAAGAUCUACUAAUAAAAAGGUGCAUGCGAUAGAAUAAAUUAAUGUUUUGAGUGAAAAGAUGGAUGAACUUAUGAAAUUAUUUGCUAAUAAGAGUGUUUCUUCUGAUCCUAAUGAUAUGCCCUUGUCUACUUUGAUUGAGAAUAAUAAUGAAUUUACGGAUGCAAAUUUUGUUGGUAGGAACCACUACAAGAAAUAUGUCAAUUUGUGACCUUUAUUAUUGACCGUGUAUAAAUUGGUCGUAAAUCUACGACCAUUUUGAACCAAUUGGUCGUAAGCUUUUUAAGAGGGUCCAAACCCUAAACAAUAACGGCAAUUUUAGUUAAAGAAGUCAUUAUUGCCUUACACAAAAUGGUCAUAAGCAGCCAACAAUAGUCAAUGGCCUUAUUUUUGACUGAUUGUGACCAAUCUAGAUGGUCAUGACGUUGUAAACAUGGAUAUAUUGAUAUGAUUGGAUGCCACCUCAUCAAUUUUGCUUAUGUGUCAUGUCUAUGUGUGAAUUUUCGUCUAUGUGUCAUAUUUAUGUGUCAAUUUCGGCUCACGUGUCUGGACAGAACUAAGGUUUCAAUGUACCACUAACGGAUAGGACCGACACGGUGACCUAAGGCCCACCAAACUGACAUGCAGGUCCCACCACGAACAUGACAGGUAGGACCCACCACCGACCUUAGAGGAGGGGCCCAAAUGGAAGAGCCAAUCAAAUUAAUUAAAACAGCAAAAUGGAUCAAAUUAUUAAAAAAAAUGAAUAAACAACAUGACGGAUAGGACCGACACAUUGACCUAAGGCCCACCAAACUGACAUGCAGGUCCGACCAUGAACAUGACAGGUAGGACCCACCACCGACCUUAGAGGAGGGGACCCAAAAUGGUCAUAAGCAGCCAACAAUAGUCAAUGGCCUUAUUUUUGACUGAUUGUGACCAAUCUAGAUGGUCAUGACGUUGUAAACAUGGAUAUAUUGAUAUGAUUGGAUGCCACCUCAUCAAUUUUGCUUAUGUGUCAUGUCUAUGUGUGAAUUUUCGUCUAUGUGUCAUAUUUAUGUGUCAAUUUCGGCUCACGUGUCUGGACAGAACUAAGGUUUCAAUGUACCACUAACGGAUAGGACCGACACGGUGACCUAAGGCCCACCAAACUGACAUGCAGGUCCCACCACGAACAUGACAGGUAGGACCCACCACCGACCUUAGAGGAGGGGCCCAAAUGGAAGAGCCAAUCAAAUUAAUUAAAACAUCAAAAUGGAUCAAAUUAUUAAAAAAAUGAAUAAACAACAUGACGGAUAGGACGGACACAUUGACCUAAGGCCCACCAAACUGACAUGCAGGUCCGACCAUGAACAUGACAGGUAGGACCCACCACCGACCUUAGAGGAGGGGACCCAAAUGAAAGAGCCAAUCAAAUUAAUUAAAACAGCAAAAUGGAUCAAAUUAUUUAAAAAAAUGAAUAAAAAACGCAUAUGGGAAGAUUUGAACCCAAGCCAUCGUCCUCCCCAUAAGAGCCCCACGCCACUACACCACACACACCUUAGAUGUAGCAAAUAAGACGUGGAUCAUACUUGAUGCGCGCCUGCAUCCAGGAGCUGCCGCUUCGCUGAAGGGAUCGCCACUUGGGCCGACCCACAUACGGGUUUUCCUACGCUGCUUUUCCUUCACUGUUUCUUAUGGUUUUUUUCGUUUUUCUUCUGCGGCUUUCGGUUUUCGACUAUUUUGUUCAAUUUUCAGUUGUUUUGUUUCAGUUUCCUUUUUUCUGUCUUGGUUCCUUUUUUCCUUUCAGUUUUUCUUUUAUGUUUCUUUUUGUUCUACUUUUCUAUUUCUGUUUUCUUCUCUUUUAUUGCGUAUUAUACAAAAGGUUCACUGCAUAUUACAAAUAUGUUUGCCGUAUUAAUAAAAAUGUUCAUCAUAUAUUCUAAAAAUACUUCAUCUUUGCGUUAUAAAAAUGUUCAUCAUGUGCUACAAAAUGUUCACUGUAUAUUAUAAAAUUGUUCAACGUAUUUUUUACUAAACGUCCAAUGCUUAUUUGAAAAUUGUUCAACGCGUACAUUGAUAUUCUUUGAAAAAUGUUCAUCUUAUAUUAAAAGAUGUUCAUCGUGUAUUACUUAAAUUGUUCAACGUACAUUAAAAAAAUACAAUGGAUAUUACAAAUUUUCAGUGUAUAUUUUCCGAAUUUUUCAAAAGGUUUCGAUAGUUAUACUAUGGCACCUCAUAUUUAGCACUAGAACUCGCUAGCGUUCAGUUAGUAGCCCUCAUCCGCAAGAGGGAAAUCGUGAGUUUGAUGUCUCCCUCACGCUUAACAUUUUUGUUUUAUUUUUACUUGUCUAGAGCUCGUUCACCUCCUCAUGGGCCGGCCCAUUUGUUGUGCCUUUAGCAAAGGCUACACCACUUGCCGCCUGCGAUUCAACCUGGGCCAUCGCGAUGCAUAAGGGCGCCCCUAACUGGGCUGACCCAUUUUUUUCUCUGUUUCUUUCUCUUUCUUUCCUUUUUUCUUUUUCCUUUUUUACUCGCUUUGUAGUUUUUCAGUUUCCUUUUCUAUUUCAUGUUUAUUUCUUUAAAUAGUAUGAGAAUUCAAUUUUGCAUUCUAAAUUUUAAAUAAUGUUCCAUUAGUUUCUCUUUUUUAUUUUUUCGAAGAAUUUUAGAAAAUGUUGUUGUUGUAAAAAAAUUGACUGAUUCAAAAAGAAAAGAUGUCCCAAUUAGUUGGGCCAUAUUUAUCCCAGGGAAAAAUAAUCAAGGCUCUCAUUUCAGCCCAUCUAAAAGAAGAGAAAAAGGCUAUUAUUUUUUUAUAAAUAUGAUCUAGUAUUUUUAACUAAUAUUUGGUUCAAUUUGUCUUUUUCACGAGAGGUGGAUCAAAGAUACCGACACACAAUCAUUUGGUCAAUUAUACAUUAAAUAUGGCAUAGUAUUUUAUAAAAUUGAUUUGGUCCAAUUUUACAACAAAUAUAUGGUAGGUCCUUCACAAAAAAAAACUCAUUUUGGGCACUCAAAAAUGAAAAUUGAAUGUUUCGUCCAAGAAAACUGAAAACUUCCUUAGGCAACGUUGUUUGCCAUUUCAAGAUGCACCCCUGUGCAUAAUAUAAGAUCAUUUGAAUAACCUAUGCCAUGAAUGUGGCUGUAAGAUUGAUCAUUUAGCUUGAAAGCCAUGAAUCUUUACACAUUAUAGCUUCUUUCUGGGAACAAUUUUUUAAAAAAAUUGUCGUAUUACAAGUUUAUUAUUUUUCCUGAUAACUUGGUCACAUAUAAUGACACAAUGCGAAGGUUUUCCAAUUUUUUGAUUUUUUAACUUUUCAUGCCCAUUUCAAAAUGCGGUCAAAACGACGGGCAUGACCGUCCCUAGCUAGUGGUUGAAUCUUGGAAUUUUUUUGAUGUUUCUUUGAUUAAAUAGAUACUUUUGUACCUAAAACUGAUUUUUUGAAAAAAUCAUGAGCAAACUAUGAGGCAGUCACAGUUCAAACUUGACCCACUUCCAACUGAAUCAGCGGGAAUUUGUCUUUUUCACGAGAGGUGGAUCAAAGAUUUUGACACACAAUAGUUUGGUUAAUUAUACAUUAAAUAUGGCCUAAUAUUUUAUAAAAUUGAUUUGGUCCAAUUUUGCAACAAAUAUAUGGUAGGUCCUUCACAAAAAACUCAUUUAUGGCACUCAAAAAAUGAAAAAUGAAUUUUUUCGUCCAAGGAAACUGAAAACUUCCUUAGGCAAGGUUGUUUGCCAUGCCAAGAUGCACCCUUGUGCACAAUAUGAGAUCAUUUGAACAAACUAUGCCAUGAAUGUGGCUAUAAGAUUAAUCAUUUGGCUUGAAAGCCAUGAAUCUUCACACAUGAUAGCUUCUUUCUGAGAACACUUUUUCUAAAAAUUUGCCGUAUUACAAGUUUAUUGUUUUUCCUGAUAACUUGGUCAUAUAUAAUGACACAAUGCGAAGGUUUUCCAAUUUUUUUUUAUUUUUCAUGCCCAUUUCAUAAUGCGGUCAAAAUGGCGGGCAUGACCGUCCCUAGCUAGUGGUUGAAUCUUGAAUUUUUUUUGGUGUUUCUCUGAUUAAAUAGAUACUUUUGUACCUAAAACUGAUAUUUGGAAAAAAUCAUGAGCAAACUAUGAGGCAACUGUAGUUUAAACUUGACCCACUUCCAACUGAAUCGCCGGGAAUUUGUCUUUUUUAUGAGAGGUGGAUCAAACCUUUUGACACCCAAUCAUUUGGUCAAUUUGUACAUUAAAUAUGGCAUAGUAUUUUAUAAAAUUGAUUUGGUCCAAUUUUGCGAUAAAUAUAUGAUAGGUCCUUCACAAAAAAACUCAUUUUGGACACUCGAAAAAUGAAAAAUGAAUUCUUCAUCCUAAUAAAAUGAAAAUUUUCUUAAGAAACAAUAUUUUUCAUUCUAAGAUAUAAACUUGUGCACAAUAUGAUAUUAUUUUUGAAUAUUUCAUGUGAAAAAAUAGAAGAAAAACAAAAGGAAAACACAAUUGCAUGUGUGCUUUAUUCUCAUUGGUGGAAUUACUUGUGACACGGAUCGAUGACAUGGCGCCCAUCCAUCCAUCCAUCCAUCCAUCUACAGAAAAAACAGAAAAUGAAAAAAAGAUCCCACCCUCCCCUCGCUCGCUCUCUCCCUCACAAACCCCUCUCUGUCUUGCAACCUCUCCCUCCCCCCCAUGAACCUCUCUCCCUCGCCGCCACCCACCACCCACAUCGGCCAGUUCCGUCGAGCUUCGGCGGCGCGUAUCACACCCCCGAGCUCCCCUAUGUCCGCACCUCCUUCCCCUCCGGCUAGAAUCAGCGCUCAAGCCGUCCACCAGCCCCCGUGGUAGCUAGGGUUUCGGCCGCCACCCCUUACCUGGCCGGGAUCCGCCACAUCCGGCGACGUCGAGGCCAGCGGGCGCCGGAUCCGUCACCGGCGUGCUCAGGUUGGUCCCUCUCCUUCUUGUUCGGCCCACCAUCUUCUCCCCACCUCACCUAUUCUUUCCUGUGAUUUCCUUUCAUGCAUAUCCAUGGCGCGAACGGAAGAAGCAGGACAGGCACAGAUGGAGGAACACCGUCUUCAUACCCUGCCCCGACGCCAAAGGUGAUUGCGUCAAAGAUAUGGAGGCGUUCAGGAAGCGGGCGGGCAAGUUCAAGGAGCAAGUUGCCAAGCAGCAGCAGGUAAGCACCAUCUGAGAUCUAAUGAUUUCUGCCUCGCGGCAUAGUCGUUGGUCAAGGGGCGAGAUUUCCCCUUGGCAUGAUUUGAUGCGUCGUGCGUGUGGGAGCCGCCAAUGAAUGAGAGAGAUCGCCUGCGACCCUCGGAUCUGCUAUUGAAAUUGCUACUCUAUUAUUAGAGUUUAAUUCCCUAAGCUGCUACUGACUUAUACUACAGAGUGUUAAACUGCUACCGAUUUAGACUACAGACCAUUUAAUCUUAUGCUAAACUGUUGCCUUCGUUAGGUAGAGGACGCUCAGUAUCAUCCCUGUCGUGUCGCCUUGCUUAACUGUGUCGGUUUCUAGGUGUAUAUCUAUGGAUGCACUCAAUAGCUAGUAUAUAAUGUUUAAAUAUUUUUCGUGACUUUGCCAAGGAAAGUUAGCGUCGGAUUUUUUUGGUUUAGUACAAUGCACAAAUGUUCACAUUGCCUCAAUGGUGCAUAUUUUACUGUAUCAGAACAACUGUAUGCUUCCCUCAUUGAUGCUACUACAGAUAAUAUAUUUGAGUACGCGGAUGCCGGAGGGGUCGUGCCUGAGGAGACCGAGCUCGCCAUGCUGCUCCUUUUCAAUGCCAACAAGGGAAGGGCCGACGAGGAGAACAGGGUCCCUACACCAAGAAGUUAGGUUUCCCUGGCUGCUCGGUAGUUCUCGGACAGCUCCCUAAUUUUCCUUGGUCUUGUAGGUAACUGGCGCAACAGCUGUAACUUGAGACGCUGGACUGGAGGAAGGAUCAUGAGGAGAACAACUACACAAUGUUGUGGAUGAACAGGAUGAUGGUAAGUAAUUCUUGAGUAUGAUAACAUGUCAUCUAGCUCAACCAUGUUUAUCCAUACCUUGCAAGACAUUUGGUGAGUAUAUUUGAGAAACCAUACAAGGCUUCUCUGUAUUCACCUUCUAUAUCAUGCUGCCCUUUCACGCUAUGAUCUUGUUUAGAUGCACACCGCUCACUUUUUUAAGAAAAUGUGUGAUGUAAAUACUGGGAAUGUGGAUAUAUAAUGUAUGUAAUUGUGGCUGUAACAAAUUAUCGUAAAUUGCUGAAUGUUCUAUUGUUUCAUAAGGAUAAACCAAGAUAUUUUAUUUACCAUGUAUUAUUUGUCACCGAGUAAUGAUCUGGGGUUGUGUGUGUAGGGAGGGUGAAUCAGAUCUAGGAGCACAUCGACUACGAGGUUUGCCGACACGACAAGUACCGUAUAUGUGUCUACUCAUCCAACCUGGUAAUCCUCCAUUUGGUCACCUUUGAUUGAUAUCCUCCAAAAUAGGAGGAGAUUCUGCUUUUGCUUAAUCUUCUUGUGUAUGCGCUUCUUGCACCUAUUGAUGCUACAAGUUAAGUAAUCAGAUCAGCCCUUCAUGUGUUGCAUGCAACUUUUGCUCCAGUUUGUUGUACUGGGCGUGAACUAUUGUCAAGAUUCCAACAUGUUCUUCAUUUUCUUCUAUCAGUAUUGCUAUAAUACCCCUUUGGGUCUUUAACAUUUGCUUUUUCUCGUGGACACAUGUAUGAACACUUCACCUGACUUCAUUCUUUCUAGAUCUCAUAAGUAGUAAUUUCUUAAAGAUUGAAUAACAUGUAUACUUCACUUUAAUGCAUGUGUGACAGCAGUAGGCUUCUAAUUAAAUAAUUUUCUAGAAUAAGCUGGGUAGGGGCAACUUAUUGCAGCUUAUUCUAGAAAGCAGCAAAAGAACUGGCCUUUAGUAAUUAGUAUGAUCUUCUGAUGUUGGAGUCUCUUUAGGAGGUGGAGAGUUUACACAUAUGAUAUAAUAUGAAUUUUAACUUACUAGUGUUUAAUAUUUCUAUCCUGUUUUAUGGAAGAAACAAAAGUUGGGCCACGCAGCCACAUAAAACCCUCUAAAAUGCCCACUGCUUGCAUCCAUGUGACUUGCUUAUAUACACUGUCUGCAUUCUACUCAGCUUGCUGCAUUUUUCUUAUUUCAUGUUACUAGUAAGCGUGCACGUGUAACACACGUAUAAUCAUAGGAAAAUACGAGAUACCAUACAAAUCACUAUCUAACAAUAGCACACUUACAAAAAGUUGGACCAUCUCAAGGUUUUCUUCUAGCUCUGCACCAAUACUUUUUACUGAAAAAGAAUCAUACACGCCUACCUAUGUAUUGUAUGACAUAGCCAUAAAUCUGUCUUAAAAUGAUACCAUGAAUCUAGUGAAUCCACAAUGAAUCUUUCAACUGAACUAAAUCCACGACAAGAAUUAUGGGACGGAGGAAGUAAUAUUUUUACAUGCUUUGGGAUUGUGAAAUGGAAUAACGAUAAGUUAAUCUUAAGGCCCAUAAAAAUAUAAGAACAAAAAUUACCUACAAUAUAUAGUAAGACAACAGUCAACUAAAAUUUGAUUGUAGAACUGUAGGAUGUUGGUUUAUUACCAAUAAAAUUCAUUGCUGAUUAGUAGGUCAAGUUCCCUCUGAAGGAUAACAAUAAUGGCGGCAUGAUCUUGAGGAGCAUCAACAUGAUUGCAGCGUACCUAAUGCUCAACCCCUGAAUCUUCCUUCAACUAUUGCCAACGAUUCAGUUUAUCCACAUGCACCGUGAAACUCAAUCAACUGAACAAAAGCUAUAAUGUAAACAAAUUAAUGUAACAUUUUCUAAGUCUGUCCUCUUAUUUAGCAUACUAAAUUUUCCUUUCUCUAAAAGAACAAUUUCAUACACAAUAUGUACACAAAAGGAAAACCAAAAAACUCCAGUUCAUGACAAGUAUUUAGCAUACUAAAAUUUUCCUUUCUCUAAAAGAACAAUUUCAUACACAAUAUGUACACAAAAGGAAAACCAAAAAACUCCAGUUCAUGACAAGUAUAUAGUUUGGUAGAUAGAAAGACUCUUACGACAUGGAUCAUAAAAUAAUUUGUGGAAAUAUAUGUAUGUUUGUCCUUAAGUAGGUUAAACGUCUUUGCUCGGAGAAAAUUAGAAGUACAUAAGAAAAAUUUCAAGGGUUCUACAUUCAACGGCUGCAAAAACUUCAGGUAGUACAUGAUAUACAUGGCAUAAGUUUCUUUCAGAUUUAUCACAUACCCAUAAAUGCAAGCUAACCCAAACAGUGCCUUGCAUGCAUAUACUGCAAGAGAGCAUUAACCAUGUGAGCGCAUAUAAAUCAAGCUUGCCCGAACAAAACAGAAGGAAAUCACUCGUAGAGAAAUCAGAUAACCAUAUGAAGUUAUUAACUUCCACCUUCUCAUCAUUCAAAUGCACCCUCUAGGAGCAGCAGUGGAUAAACUGAAUCGUUGCAAGCUAGUAACUAAAAUAACCCCACAAACUACAAUAAAAAACUGAAUCCAUGAUAAGAAAAAUCUAAACUGAAUACCUUGUAGACCAUGCCACAUAUGCUCAAAAUCGAUAAACGGAUCAAUGUGACAGUAGGUUAAUAUAUUAGGGCAAGAAUGAAGUGGGUAUAUGGGGUAGAGCAAUCAACGUGCUGGGUCAAUAACUGCAGGGAGUCAAUCGCGGAGGAGGCGGCUGACCGGUGAACAUUUAUGAUAUUUUCUAGGCCACAAAAAGUGUCUGGGACCAAUUAAGUCAUUCCCAAAAACAAAUAUGAGGCGAACCUGAUGGAUCAUCACCUCAAUUUUUGCCACCACAUUGUAUGUGAUCCCCUAAUUCGAGUUUGGUGGAUUGGUGCAGACAUUCCUCCAAGCCAACAAAAACUGCAUUCAGUUUCAGUAAGGAGAUACAUGAUUAAAGGAGUAUCAAACACCCACCUCUAUGUUUCAAGUAGAGGAAACAAUUCCUUGGAGCUAGUGGUGCGUAAAAAAUAUUUUCUAUAUAUUAUAACUUGUACAUGAUGUUUCCUGUCUCCAAACAUUUAUUGGCAUGAUCAACAUAGCAUAGCAAUCAAGGAUCAAGUAUUUGCAAUGUAAGCGGCAAAAUUCCACGAAGCUACGAAGCAUUCAGUGAAUUUGCAUUGAUUCUGAAGAGAUAGUGAAUUUGAAUUUCUGCAACCUGCCAAAUUUAACUAUUUAAGAAUGAGGUCACAAUCAAAAAAAUGUUGUGCUGGUCAACCAAAAAUAUUAAUCAUAGGAUUGUGAGUCUAUAGUGCAAAAUUGGAAAUAAUAAGCAGUACACAUCCCAAUUUCAAAUUCCUAGCAAUGCUUUUCAUGUAACAUUUUCAUAGAGUACAUAUGAGCCCAUAAAGACAUCUUACCAUAUGUCAUGAUUAUUAACUAUGAACAAGAAACUAAAACCAACCUUCUGACAAAUACGGCAUCGCCGCAUUACAAACGAUGGCCGAGCUAAAAUUAAAAAUAUGAGAAAGUAAAAAAUACAUGUAUGCUAUUGGUAGUACCAUCAAUCCAGAACAAGAUCAUAAUUUUUUUUCAAAAAUAUAUACGGCCACAAAGAAAAAGAAAAUAGUGAAUGCUCUAUAGAACACGAAACAUAUGCUCAAAAUAAAGAUCCGAGCUAACAAGAGAUGGGCUGAAUAGAUCAAGGGAAAAUCAGUUACACUCUUUGUUAGUGAUAUGGAUGUCUUAGUAUAUUGUUUUGUUAAUUAUUUGCAGGCCUAUAUAUUUGCAUGGAGUCCAUGUCCGGCUUCUGACGGCAUGUAAGUAGGCCAAAUGAAAUUGUCAUGUGGAUUGCAAUGUAUACAACUCACAUGCAUGCACAUUGUAUCCUUUCCCUUACCAGAUUCUAAACUGGACUAAAGCAUUAAUAAGAAUUCCUCUAGCUUACAUUACUUUGGGCAAUGGAGAGGGUUGUAGGUCGCUUCCUGUUGUAUUCCAUUAUCUUCUCAUCAGACACUUGGGCAUCCCAAUUUUGACCCCAAUUCAGUUGUUCUCGCAGAUUUUCACCUAGGGCAUUUGCAUCCCCAUGAUUAGGCGUGAUUGUCAGGUCCUUAAAUGGAGAACAUUCUUCUGAUCGUAAUGGAGAUGCAGGUGGAUGAUGAUUAUUCAUCUGUGUGAAGGUAAAUCCAUGGGGAAGUGAAGAAAUCAGUACACGCACAUAAUUGAGCAUAAAUACUCGCUCCUUAUUGAUGAUGAUUACUUACGAGAAAGGAUAUGGGUUUCCUUGGCGCUCCAAUUGGUGAGGGAUUUGUUGCAGAAAGAGCUCCAUGGGCAUGUUGUGGGAGGCAUGGAGGGCCGUCGGCGACGUGCGCGGGUAGGCGUGGAGCGGACGCGCGCUGGGGGCGGCCGGGCGCGGGGGCGCGCAAGGCGGCGUUUGGGACGGGGACUGGCGGGGGAGCAGGGGCGGCCGGACGGGCGCGGACGCCGGGGGAGGCCGGGCGCGGCGGGCACUGUGGGAGGAGUGUUGGCUGUGGUAGGAGCAAGGGCGGACGGGGAGCAGGGGCGACCGAGCGUGGAGCCAGGAGCGGGGCGGAGGGGCGGCUGGGCGCGUCGGAUGCAGCGGGGCAGAGGAGGAUUAAGCGGAGGGCGUGGGUUGCUGCGUGGAGGAAAGUUUAGUGGCUUAACCGUACACUAACCGCGUGGUUGAUGCUAAACAUUAAACAUUGAGAUGAUUUUGAUCGUUAGAUCUCUCCAUUAGACGGUUGAGAUGUAUUGGUUCUCUGCCCUCUCAUGUUUUUAUAGGGGUAGUAGAUGCUUAAUUUGCUGCUCAUGUGUUGUCCCUUCUGUUGCCAGGACGAAAUGCUUCUCGGAAUUCUUAAAGAGGAAGACAAUGGAGCCAUGAUGUUGUUGUGCAACAGGCUAUGUUUUUUGCAAUACCAUUUGUCUUGGCUGUGUAUCUUACUUUGUGUGUGCUGGGAUACUCAAAAAGCUAUCUCUGUAAUUUAAAUCUGUGUUAUGUUGUCUGGCGUGUGUAACCUUAUUUUGUGUGUGCUGGGAUACUCAAAAAGAUAUCUGUCUAAUUUAAAUCUGUGUUAUGUUGUCUGGCGUGUGUAAUCUUAUUUUGUGUGUGCUGGGAUAUUCAAAAAGAUAUCUGUCUAAUUUAAAUCUGUGGUGUAUUCUUCACUGAACUUUACUUGUAGUACAGUUUCAGGUCUAAAAAGGUUAAACGACCUAAUAAUACAUAAUGGAUUGGACAUGGGCUUUGGCCCAGUAAAAUAAAU
rnacentral:lncRNA from 1 species